rnacentral:rRNA from 1 species
GGCGGCGUGCUUAACACAUGCAAGUCGAGCGGAAAGGCCCUUCGGGGUACUCGAGCGGCGAACGGGUGAGUAACACGUGAGUAACCUGCCCCAGACUUUGGGAUAACCCUCGGAAACGGGGGCUAAUACCGGAUAUGACUUACCGGCGCAUGGUCUGGUGGUGGAAAGUUUUUCGGUUUGGGAUGGACUCGCGGCCUAUCAGCUUGUUGGUGGGGUAAUGGCCUACCAAGGCGACGACGGGUAGCCGGCCUGAGAGGGCGACCGGCCACACUGGGACUGAGACACGGCCCAGACUCCUACGGGAGGCAGCAGUGGGGAAUAUUGCACAAUGGGCGGAAGCCUGAUGCAGCGACGCCGCGUGAGGGAUGACGGCCUUCGGGUUGUAAACCUCUUUCAGCAGGGACGAAGCGAAAGUGACGGUACCUGCAGAAGAAGCGCCGGCCAACUACGUGCCAGCAGCCGCGGUAAGACGUAGGGCGCGAGCGUUGUCCGGAUUUAUUGGGCGUAAAGAGCUCGUAGGCGGCUUGUCGCGUCGACUGUGAAAUCUCAGGGCUCAACUCUGACAUUGCAGUCGAUACGGGCAGGCUAGAGUUCGGUAGGGGAGACUGGAAUUCCUGGUGUAGCGGUGAAAUGCGCAGAUAUCAGGAGGAACACCGAUGGCGAAGGACGGUCUCUGGGCCGAUACUGACGCUGAGGAGCGAAAGCGUGGGGAGCGAACAGGAUUAGAUACCCUGGUAGUCCACGCUGUAAACGUUGGGCGCUAGGUGUGGGGGGCCUCUCCGGUUUCCUGCGCCGCAGCUAACGCAUUAAGCGCCCCGCCUGGGGAGUACGGCCGC